AUUGAACGCUGGCGGCAGGCCUAACACAUGCAAGUCGAGCGAGCGGCGGACGGGUGAGUAAUGUCUGGGAAACUGCCUGAUGGAGGGGAAUACGUCGGGAAAAGGUAGUCAAAACCGGAUAGCAAUAGACGUGCCGCGGUGGGAGUAGGUAGUAGGUGGGGUAACGGCUCACCUAGGCGACGAUCCCUAGCUGGUCUGAGAGGAUGACCAGCCACACUGGAACUGAGACACGGCCCAGACUCCUACGGGAGGCAGCAGUGGGGAAUAUUGCACAAUGGGCGCAAGCCUGAUGCAGCCAUGCCGCGUGUGUGAAGAAGGCCUUCGGGUUGUAAAGCACUUUCGGCGGGGAGGCGUUACCCGCAGAAGAAGCACCGGCUAACUCCGUGCCAGCAGCCGCGGUAAUUC
rnacentral:rRNA from 1 species